ACGACCUCGCAGGACAGGCCCUUGGUCAUGUCCUGCAGGCGCGCGGCGACAUUCACGGAAUCGCCGAGGGCGGUGAAGACGGUGUGUUCCUCAGAACCGANNNNNNCCAUGAAUGCCGACCCCGAACCGCAGCGGUUCCGGCACGUCGUCGCCGAGAAAUUCAUUCAGUGCAUCGACGUGGAUCGCGAUCCGCGAUGCGG
rnacentral:misc_RNA from 1 species